AGGGAGCUAACUCAGUUGGUUAGAGUGCCUGUCUUAUACACAGUUGGUCGUGGGUUCGAGUCCCACGCUCCCCA
rnacentral:tRNA from 1 species